rnacentral:rRNA from 1 species
AUUGAACGCUGGCGGCAGGCCUAACACAUGCAAGUCGAGCGGAGCGGCGGACGGGUGCGUUAUACCUAGGUAUCUGCCUGGUAGUGGGGGAUAACGUUCGGCAACGGACGCUAAUACCGCAUACUAUCAGAUGAGCCUAGUGCGGAUUAGCUCGUUGGUGGGGUAAUGGCUCACCAAGGCGACGAUCCGUAACUGGUCUGAGAGGAUGAUCAGCCACACUGGAACUGAGACACGGUCCAGACUCCUACGGGAGGCAGCAGUGGGGAAUAUUGGACAAUGGGCGAAAGCCUGAUCCAGCCAUGCCGCGUGUGUGAAGAAGGUCUUCGGAUUGUAAAGCACUUUAAGUUGGGAGGCGGAACCGAAAGAAUAAGCACCGGCUAACUCUGUGCCAGCAGCCGCGGUAAUUG